UACGGAGGAUGCGAGCGUUAUCCGGAUUCAUUGGGUUUAAAGGGUACGUAGGUGGCCCGGUAAGUCAGUGGUGAAAACCUGCCGCUUAACGGUAGGCGUGCCAUUGAUACUGUCGGGCUUGAGUGCAGUUGAGGCAGGCGGAAUGUGUAGUGUAGCGGUGAAAUGCAUAGAUAUUACACAGAACUCCGAUUGCGAAGGCAGCUUGCUAAAGUGCAACUGACGCUGAUGUACGAAAGCGUGGGUAGCGAACAGG
rnacentral:rRNA from 2 species